GAACAAGACUGCUAACUAUGAGUACCUAAAGUCCCAAGUUUGGUCUUAAGUCUCAACUUUAGGGCUGAAGUCCAAAAGUGACUGCUUCCACCUGCAUAAAUAAGAGGAUCUGAUUAGUCUUGCAAUAAGGACACACGCACGCUGUCAUGGAAGAAAGAAGGAAAGAUGGCUGGAACAGAGAUCUUCAUUUUCUUCACUGUUCCAACUCAGAAAUUCACAUCCCAAGCUCUGGAAAAUCCCCUCCGCAGGUGACCGGCGAACAUGGACUACAAGGCAGUUGGCUGCCCGGUGACUGCUGACCCUCUCCCCAGGGGGAGCAGGGCCCCUCAGCUCCCCUGACUGCAGCCGUGGAGGCUGGGGCAGGUGAGCUUGCACCAGGUGGGUCCCAGGCCCCGGGCU
rnacentral:lncRNA from 1 species